UAGGGAAUCUUCGGCAAUGGACGAAAGUCUGACCGAGCAACGCCGCGUGAGUGAAGAAGGUUUUCGGAUCGUAAAACUCUGUUGUUAGAGAAGAACAAGGACGUUAGUAACUGAACGUCCCCUGACGGUAUCUAACCAGAAAGCCACGGCUAACUACGUGCCAGCAGCCGCGGUAAUACGUAGGUGGCAAGCGUUGUCCGGAUUUAUUGGGCGUAAAGCGAGCGCAGGCGGUUUCUUAAGUCUGAUGUGAAAGCCCCCGGCUCAACCGGGGAGGGUCGUUGGAAACUGGGAGAGUUGAGUGCAGAAGAGGAGAGUGGAAUUCCAUGUGUAGCGGUGAAAUGCGUAGAUAUAUGGAGGAACACCAGUGGCGAAGGCGGCUCUCUGGUCUGUAACUGACGCUGAGGCUCGAAAGCGUGGGGAGCAAACAGG
rnacentral:rRNA from 1 species